UCAUGAACAUCCGUCACAUCCCAAAUCGUGGAUCCCCUUUCUAGGUCGUUGACCGGUUUUCGAGCCUAAUCCAAUGGCCAAUGUGUAACAAAACCCAGAUCGUGUGAUGAAUUAUGCAUCAUCAAUCACCGAUUUAACGCACCCGUAGUUGUUUUUGAAGAUCAGCGAAGAAAUUCAAGGGUCACUAUCAUGUUGAUCUCAAUCAAGAGAGACCUAACCUGA
rnacentral:lncRNA from 1 species